rnacentral:rRNA from 1 species
GAUGAACGCUGGCGGCGUGCUUAACACAUGCAAGUCGAGCGAGAAGUUUUGAAAAUAUUCUUCUGAUGAAAUUUAAAAUGGAAAGCGGCGGACGGGUUAGUAACGCCUAGGCAACCUGCCCCAUACAAAGGGAUAGCAUUUGUAAACGAAUAUUAAUACUUUAUGAAACUUAACUAGUGCAUGCUAGGUAGGUCAAAGAUUUAUCGGUAUGGGAUGGGCCUGCGUCUGAUUAGCUAGUUGGUGAGGUAUUUGCUCACCAAGGUGACGAUCAGUAGCCGAACAGGGAGAGCGGCCUGCUUGAUUCGAAGAUAGACACGGGACACACUCGUACGGGAGGAGGGGGUAGGAAAGAACGAACAAUGGGAGAAAGCCUGAUGCAGCACCGCUGCGUGAACGAGGAAGGCGGUUGGGUAGUAAAGUUCUGUUCUAGGUGAUGGAAAGUGACGGUAACCUAUAAGAAAGCCCCGGCUAACUCCGUG